rnacentral:rRNA from 1 species
AUUGAACGCUGGCGGCAGGCCUAACACAUGCAAGUCGAGCGGAUGAAGGGAGCUUGCUCCUGGAUUCAGCGGCGGACGGGUGAGUAAUGCCUAGGAAUCUGCCUGGUAGUGGGGGAUAACGUCCGGAAACGGGCGCUAAUACCGCAUACGUCCUGAGGGAGAAAGUGGGGGAUCUUCGGACCUCACGCUAUCAGAUGAGCCUAGGUGGGAUUAGCUAGUUGGUGGGGUAAAGGCCUACCAAGGCGACGAUCCGUAACUGGUCUGAGAGGAUGAUCAGUCACACUGGAACUGAGACACGGUCCAGACUCCUACGGGAGGCAGCAGUGGGGAAUAUUGGACAAUGGGCGAAAGCCUGAUCCAGCCAUGGCGCGUGUGUGAAGAAGGUCUUCGGAUUGUAAAGCACUUUAAGUUGGGAGGAAGGGCAGUAAGUUAAUACCUUGCUGUUUUGACGUUACCAACAGAAUAAGCACCGGCUAACUACGUG